rnacentral:piRNA from 1 species
CAAGAUAUGACCAAAGCAAAGACACUA